UACGCAGGGGGCUAGCGUUGUUCGGAAUUACUGGGCGUAAAGCGCACGUAGGCGGGUUGUUAAGUCAGGGGUGAAAUCCCGGAGCUCAACUCCGGAACUGCCUUUGAUACUGGCAACCUAGAGGCUGGAAGAGGUUAGUGGAAUUCCCAGUGUAGAGGUGAAAUUCGUAGAUAUUGGGAAGAACACCAGUGGCGAAGGCGGCUAACUGGUCCAGUACUGACGCUGAGGUGCGAAAGCGUGGGGAGCAAACAGG
rnacentral:rRNA from 1 species